UACGGAGGGUGCAAACGUUGCUCGGAAUCAUUGGGCGUAAAGCGCGCGUAGGUGGCCCCAUAAGUCCGCUGUGAAAGUCAAAGGCUCAACCUUUGAAAGCCGGUGGAUACUGUGGGACUAGAGUACGGAAGAGGCGAGUGGAAUUCCUGGUGUAGCGGUGGAAUGCGCAGAUAUCAGGAGGAACACCAAUAGCGAAGGCAGCUCGCUGGGACGUUACUGACACUGAGGCGCGAAAGCGUGGGGAGCGAACAGG
rnacentral:rRNA from 1 species